rnacentral:snoRNA from 1 species
AUGAUGACUUCGGCAGGAGCGGAGGUUGAAGAGACUUAGCCCUAGCUGA